GAAAUGCGAUAAGAAAUGUGAAUUGCAGAAUUCAGUGAAUCAUCGAAUCUUUGAACGCACCUUGCGCUCCUUGGUAUUCCUUGGAGCAUGCCUGUUUGAGUAUCAUGAAAUCUUCAAAGUAAAUCUUUUGUUAACUCAAUUGGUUUCUACUUUGGUAUUGGAGGUCUUUGCAGCUUCACACCUGCUCCUCUUUGUUCAUUAGCUGGAUCUCAGUGUUAUGCUUGGUUCCACUCGGCGUGAUAAGUUAUCUAUCGCUGAGGACACUGUAAAAGGUGGCCAAGGUAAAUGCAGAUGAACCGCUUCUAAUAGUCCAUUGACUUGGACAAUACUUUUAUGAUCUGAUCUCAAAUCAGGUAGGACUACCCGCUGAACUUAAGC
rnacentral:misc_RNA from 1 species